AGUUGCUCUAUGAAUAGUAUUUUUUUUUGUCAAGCGAUUAUCCUGUAAUUUUGGGAAUAAAAGAUGGAGUUGGUGUAUGAAUAGUAAAUUUUUUGUCAAGCGGUUAUAAGGUAAUUUUGGGCAACUUUGUUGGCUUUUGUAUUUGUUGGCUUUUUCCUUUUUUUUUCACAAAUUAAAACAUUUAAUCAAUAUAAUCACAACAAUUAUUUUUGGGAGGGAGUUGGCUUAUGAAUAGUGAAUUUUUUGUCAAGCAUUUAUAAGGUAAUUUUGGGCAACUUUGAGGGCAAAUUUGUUGGCUUUUUCCUUUUUUUUUUGCACAAAGUAAAACAUUUAGGGUCCGUUUGUUUCGGGUGAAAAUGUUUUACAGGAAAAUAUUUUCCUAAUUUCUCGUGUUUGGUUGCACAAAAGUUACUGAAAAUAUUUUCACUCAUCUUCCCCGUACCACUCAACCCAAUCCAACCCUCCCCCUCGUAUAUUCAAAAUAAAAAAAAAACCUCAUCCUACUCAUCAUAUGCUAGUAAUUAAUUAUGUAUAAUACGGACAUUCUUUUCUAGAGAAACUUUCAGCAGUGAGAGUGCAAGAUAUAUAUCAAAAUAACCAUUGCAUGUGAUUGAUAUUUGACACUAAAUGGCCAGCAAUUCGUUUAUUGCUUAAGGAGAUAUUUUUUAUUC
rnacentral:lncRNA from 1 species